rnacentral:rRNA from 1 species
AGUCGAGGGGCAUCGGGGCGAGGAGCAAUCCUUGCCGCCGGCGACCGGCGCAUGGGUGAGUAACGCGUAUGCGACCUGCCCGUUGCAGGGGGAUAAUCGGGAGAAAUCCCGUCUAAUACCGCGUAACGCCGCGGGGCUGCAUGGCCCUGCGGCCAAAGGAAGCGAUUCCGGCAACGGAUGGGCAUGCGUGACAUUAGCUAGUUGGCGGGGCAACGGCCCACCAAGGCGACGAUGUCUAGGGGUUCUGAGAGGAAGGUCCCCCACACUGGUACUGAGACACGGACCAGACUCCUACGGGAGGCAGCAGUGAGGAAUAUUGGUCAAUGGGCGCGAGCCUGAACCAGCCAAGUCGCGUGAGGGAUGACGGCCCUACGGGUUGUAAACCUCUUUUGUCGGGGAGCAAAUUCCGCCACGUGUGGCGGAGUCGAGAGUACCCGAAGAAAAAGCAUCGGCUAACUCCGUGCCAGCAGCCGCGGUAAUACGGAGGAUGCGAGCGUUAUCCGGAUUUAUUGGGUUUAAAGGGUGCGUAGGCGGACUGUCAAGUCAGCGGUAAAAUACGGGGGCUCAACCUCCGCCCGCCGUUGAAACUGACGGUCUUGAGUGGGCGAGAAGUAUGCGGAAUGCGUGGUGUAGCGGUGAAAUGCAUAGAUAUCACGCAGAACUCCGAUUGCGAAGGCAGCAUACCGGCGCCCAACUGACGCUGAAGCACGAAAGCGUGGGUAUCGAACAGGAUUAGAUACCCUGGUAGUCCACGCAGUAAACGAUGAAUACUA